CCGGGAGCAAAAGGGAAAGGCCCAAAGCCCUGCUUACAGGGAGGGCCGUCAGGCCAGACAAGGGACAGGGCUGUCCCCAAAGGCACAUAGAGACCUGGACCCUCAUUAUAGGGUGGUCCACAGCUCUGCAUGAUCUAGCCCUCCAACAAGAGACAUGGGAUUCGCACCCUCCUUACAGGGUACGGUCCGUCUCACUAGCUAGACUGCCCACAGGGGGCAACAGGGAGGCCCAGAGCCCUGCUUACAGGGAGGCCUAUCAGGCCUGGCAAAGGACAGAGCUGUCCUCAAAGGCACAUUUUGACCCGGACCCCGCUUACAGGGUGGUCCACAGCUCUGCAGAAGUCAGCCCUCCAUCAAGAGACAUGGGACUCACACCCUCGUUACAAAGCACGGUCCAUCUGACUAGCCACACUGCCCAUGGGGGGCAAAAGGCAAAGACCCAGAGCCCUGCUUACAGGGAAGGCCGCCAGGCAAAGCACAGAGCUGUCCCCAAAGGCAGAGACCUGCACCCUGCUUACAGGGCGGUCCACUGCUCUGCAGAACCUAGUCUUCCACCAAGAGACAUGGGACUCGCACCCUUCUUACAUGGCGCCGUCCAUCUGAGUAGCCACACUGCCCAUGUGGGGGCAAAAGGUAAAGGCCCCGAGCCCUGCUUACAGGGAGGGCCGUCAGGCCUGGGAAAGCACAGAGCUGUCCUCAAAUGCACAGAGACCUGCACUCUAAUUACAGAGUGGUCCACAGCUCUGCACAAUCUAGCCCUCCGCCAAGAGACAUGGGACUCGCAUCCUUGUUACAGGGCAGCCCAGGGGUCCAGAUGCAGUGUGUCAGACACAGAUGCAUGAAAAAGGACAGAUGCCUGGACACAGGGAUUGGAGAGGAGGCCACAGGCUUCAACCCAGACCACGGGAAGGUCAAGCUUCUGGUUCUAAAGAGUUGGCUGUCACCCCACGAGCCUCGGCUCGUCUGCAAGGCCGUUCUGCAGCACAACGCUGCAGACUGCUCCGGCUCUGUACUACCAGCGGAAGGAGGCUACACCCACCCUCCUUACAGGGGCACCUCUCCGACUGGCUGGGAAUAGCCGUGGACUUUGACUCCCAAUUACAGGACGUCCAGCGCUACACAUAUUUUUUCUCAUGUUAGAAAGCAGCACAUACCCCACUUAUGGGUUGCUGCGCCACUGGCAGCCAGGUCUGACAGCUGGCCUGGACCCCGAUUACAGGGUGGCUGUGCUGUGCAAGACCACUAACCAGAUCCACGGCCUUUAGAAACAUGGUGGUGGUGACACACAGCUUGAUUACAAGGUUGCCCACCUUCCACCUGACUGCUGCAGAAGUGCAACAGCAUGAAGGGCAGAGACUCGUUUCUGAGUUACAGGGAGCUCGCCCAAAGGCUCACAAAGC